CCCAAAUCUGAAGAACUCCGCACGGGAAGAAGAGACGCCGAGCUCCAAGGCCGCCGAGCUCCAAGGCUUCUCCAACGAACAGAUUGACUUGUUACUGCAUGCCCAACGAGAGAGAAUGGCUGACGCUGCUUGUGGAGAGAUGGUUUGCAGAAUUUGUCUGAGCCCUUGCAACCGCUAGAGCAAGGGAAGCGGCAUCAGCAUGUACCUCUGGAAGGAGUUCAAAAACACAUGGCAACACAUGGGCAUUGACAUGGAUGAUGAAGGAAGGGCCAUGAACACGACAGAGACAAUAGAAAUGCAGAACGCAGAGCCCUGAACACGACAGAGACAAUGGAGAAGGCAGAGAUCAGUGUCUUGAAGAUCGAGAGUUAGAAGAGAGACGAUAUCACGUUUUGCUCUUUUGAAGAAGGUUUGUAACCUUUUUCUACAUAUAGUGAUGUUUUUUUUUUCUUGAGUUCUAGUUGAUACAGGAAAUU